rnacentral:rRNA from 1 species
UACAGAGGUCUCAAGCGUUGUUCGGAUUCAUUGGGCGUAAAGGGUGCGUAGGCGGCGCGGUAAGUCGGGUGUGAAAUCUCGGAGCUUAACUCCGAAACUGCAUUCGAUACUGCCGUGCUUGAGGACUGGAGAGGAGACUGGAAUUCACGGUGUAGCAGUGAAAUGCGUAGAGAUCGUGAGGAAGACCAGUGGCGAAGGCGGGUCUCUGGACAGUUCCUGACGCUGAGGCACGAAGGUCAGGGGAGCAAACGGG